GGAGGAAUAGCGAAGUGGCUAAACGCGGCGGUCUGUAAAACCGCUCUCUCUGAGUUCGGCGGUUCGAAUCCACCUUCCUCCA
rnacentral:tRNA from 1 species